rnacentral:miRNA from 1 species
UCGCCUCCUUCUCUCUC